UACCAGCACCCCGAGUGGUCGGGACGAUUAUUGGGCCUAAAGCAUCCGUAGCCGGUCCUACAAGUCUUCCGUUAAAUCCACCUGCUCAACAGAUGGGCUGCGGAAGAUACUAUAGGGCUAGGAGGCGGGAGAGGCAAGCGGUACUCAGUGGGUAGGGGUAAAAUCCUCUGAUCCAUUGAAGACCACCAGUGGCGAAGGCGGCUUGCCAGAACGCGCUCAACGGUGAGGGAUGAAAGCUGGGGGAGCAAACCGG
rnacentral:rRNA from 1 species